rnacentral:lncRNA from 10 species
CUUGUCCUUCCCCAGAGGCCCAUGCUCUGGGCCUUUCUUCACGGUGUCUCUUGAAAAUGGCUAUAAAACUUCUUGUCAAAUUGGAGUACUUUGGAAUAUUUAGGAAAAGUUGGCAGAGAGGAGACAGGACUAAAGUGCAGCUCCCACUUGGAUGAACUGAACAGUGUGUGGAGACUCACAUUGUGAAUUUUUGCUCCAAGAACUACCUCAGGAACAUACCAGAAAAACCAAAAGAAUUCACAGACCCUUUGAAAAAAGUGGCUUGCCAGUGCAAACUCCAUGAGACAGCUGAAAAACUGUGCUCUCUGUACACAGAGGGUUUUGUCUGUUUGGUCACCGAUAUAUCUUCAGUGCCCAGAACAGUGCAUGGCAAUGGCAGACUCUCAACUGAUGGUUUAAAGAGGUUGUCUUUUCCAAGGCCCAUCACCUGCUUCACAGAAUUUUCAGCUCUUUUGACAAUUUCCAAGACAAGGGAUGAGUUCCAGCCACCAUGUCAUGAGGAGACCCUGGAUACCCCAGCUCAGAGCCUAGAGGCAUUCAUCAAGAUCAACAUACCUGCCAAGGCAAACCCUGUGAGCCCUGUGACUGGCCAUGUGGACUCGACAUCCUCCUUGUCCGCCGUCCACUCACUUGCAAACUGGUGUCAAUGAAGGCACAUAAGAAGACUACAUUUCCCAGCAUCCCUUGCAAUUGAGCUCACGUGAUUAGCUCUAGCCAAGAGGUGGCAAGCAGAAGAUACUUGAGUCUCUUCCUGGUGAAAUAGAAUGAAAGCACUGAACACAGAUGUGAAGUCUCUGUGCUUUUACUUCCGUCACUGUGGUGAAUUGGCAUCCAUAUGUUGAAAUGACAUCACAAGACAGAAACAAUUAGGGUCACUGAGUCACUGCAAGAAAGAGAGCUGCCCUGGAGAGUCAUCUAGAAUCACAGCAAUCUUCUGUAUAUUCAAGAAACAAAGCUUUGUUUGUACUGAGAUUGGAGGUUGUUAUUGCAGCAGAGUACAGCCUAUCCUAACCAAUACAGAAAAUAUAGUAGGCAAAAUAAGGGCACCCAAAAAAAUGCUCAUUUCCUAAUCUCCAGGACCUGUAAACAAGUUAUAUCAUAUGGCAAAGACAAAUCAAAGUUGCAGAUGGAAUUAAGGUUGCUAAUCAGCUAAUCUGGAGAUGGAGAGAUUGUUCUAGAUUAUCUGAGUAAACCCUAUGUAAUUACAAAGGAUCUUAAAAGCAGAAGAGAGAAUCAAAAGAAUCAGAAAGAUGGCAGUAUGAGUGGGACUUGGCCCAAUGUUGCUGGCUUUGAAGAUGAAGGAAUGAGGCCAUGAGUCAUCGAGUAUGGUAGCCUCUAUAAGCAGGAAAAGGCAAGGAAAUGGUUCUACCCUAGAAUGUUCAGAAAGGAAUGCACCCUACCAACACCAGUCUUUGCCUGGGUAAGGUAUAUGUUCCACUCCUAAGCUAUAGAACUAUAAAUAAUAAAUCUGUGUUGUUUUAAGCCACUAAGUUUGGGAUAAUUUGUUGCAGCACUAAUAGAAGACUAAUACAGAGGCAUUUGUAGACCUCAGGCUCAUUCAAGAAUUCUCAUCUGUUUCCCCAUAAUGCUCUAAAUAUAUUUUAUUAAUGUACUUCCCAUAUCAUAUCUUGAUUAUCUCUGUGUGUAUGUGUCAUUUUCUUCCCUAGAGUGAAAGUUUUCUUGAGGGCAAGAAUUAAGUCUUCUUC